UUGGGGACAGGCUUUGGGGUGCUGCUGGUGCUGCUGGGGUGGCACUGGGUGAUCCUGAAGGGCUCUUCCCACCCUGAUGAUUCUGGGAUUAGAGCCUUAAAACGGGACUAAGUUGCUAAAUCUGAAAGGUUUACAGAGUUACGAGGAGGUGCCCAUAGGUGGAGCUAAAUACCCAACAAUGGUUUUAUCCUGGGUAAAACAAACUCCACACUCAGCCUGCAGCUCCGGCUCCCUUCCCCACAGCAGGUACGGAAAAAGGGUUUGACAUCCCUUCCAACCCUCACCAUUCCAUGAUUUUACGAUCCUGCCUUUACAAACUGCUGUAAGACACUUCUCUUCUUAAAUCUCUUUGCUUUGAAGGAGCACGUGGGGCCACACAGAGGGAAAACUGGCUGGUUCCAGAUGGAAAAGGAGCUGAACCGUGCUGGAUUGAGCCUUUGUUACACAGGAGCCACUGGAGCCGGGACGUGCCGGAAUGCCGGGCUGGGAGCUUCCUGACCUGCCCUGGGAGCUGCAAUGGCACCACUGCCCUGUAAUUAAAGUUGUGUCGAAGUUUCCAUUCUGCUGCCCUGGAAGGAGAGAGUUCCCAGAGCUGAGCUCCUGGAGAAGGGAGGGUUACUCAGCAAAUUGCUUCAGGCUUUUGCUGGGUGGUUUUUAAUUAGGAUUUUAAUAUCGUGGAUUUUUAGUGUUGUCUGAGACUUCAGAGUGAACACAGAGCUGGGGCUCAUCCAAAUGGAUUCCAGAAUUUCCUGGUGGGCACAGCAGCUCUUGUUUCCCUUCUGGAAGAUUCCUUGAGGAAACAGCCUCAAGCUGUGCUAGGGGAGGCUCAGGGUGGACACCAGGAGCAAUUUCUUCCUGGAGAGGGAGGUCAGGCCUUGGGAAGAGCUGCCCAGGGAGGUUUGGAGUGCCCAUCCCUGGAGGUGUCCCAGGAAGGGCUG